rnacentral:rRNA from 1 species
GACGAACACUGGCGGCAUGCCUAAUACAUGCAAGUCGAGCGAACAGAUGAAGUGCUUGCACUUCUGACGUUAGCGGCGAACGGGUGAGUAACACGUAAGGAAUCUACCUAUAAGCGGGGGAUAACAUUCGGAAACGGGUGCUAAUACCGCAUAAUAUCUUCUUCCGCAUGGAAGAAGAUUGAAAGACGGCUCUGCUGUCACUUAUAGAUGACCUUGCGGUGCAUUAGUUAGUUGGUGGGGUCACGGCCUACCAAGACGAUGAUGCAUAGCCGGCCUGAGAGGGUGAUCGGCCACAUUGGGACUGAGACACGGCCCAAACUCCUACGGGAGGCAGCAGUAGGGAAUCUUCCGCAAUGGGCGAAAGCCUGACGGGGCAAUGCCGCGUGAGUGAAGAAGGCCUUCGGGUCGUAAAACUCUGUUAUAAGAGAAAAACAAAUUGUAGAGUAACUGCUACAGUCUUGACGGUAUCUUAUCAGAAAGCCACGGCUAACUACGUGCCAGCCGCCGCGGUAA